rnacentral:lncRNA from 1 species
ACGAUAAAUCUCCCUCCCUCUGUUCUCCCUCCCUCCCUCUCUCCUCUCCCUCCCUCUCUUCUCUCCUCUCCCUCUGUUCUCCUCUGUUCUGCCUCUCCCUCCCUCUCCUCUCCCUCCCUCUCCUCUCUCCUCUCCCGCUCUCCUCUCCCUCCCUCUGUCCUCUCCUCUCCUUUCCCUCCCUCCCUCUGUCCUCUCCUCUCCUCUCCCUCCCUCUCUCCUCUCCCUCCCUCUGUCCUCUCCCUCCCUCCCUCUCUCCUCUCCUCUCCUCUCCCUCCCUCCCUCUCUCCUCUCCUCUCCUCUCCCUCCCUCCCGCUCUCCUCUCCUCUCCCUCCCUCUGUCCUGUCCUCUCCUCUCCCUCCCUCCCUCUGUCCUCCCCUCUCCUCUCCCUCUCUCCUCUCCCUCCCUCCCUCCCUCUGUUCUCCAGUCAGUAACUGAGACGUCUUUCAGAACGGAGCAGCUGACAAAACUGGAACCCUCCAGCAGCAGCGAUACUCACGGCAGAACUGCAGAACUGGUUCGGUUGGUCUAAAACCAGUUUGAGAGGAAACCGGUUCUGUGUGACACAGCGGGGCUCAGCAGGAAGCUUACCGGGUUCAGGGUGACGGCUGCGGCGGGAGACAGCGGCUCUGUCCGGGCUGUGUGGAAGCAGCGGAACUCCGCUCGAACCGAACCCUCACACGUUUUAAGUACUGCCGUCUGCGCCUGCGUCAAGCUCCACACCAGGCAACCAGGCGCACACCGGAAAUACGAUGUCUUGCCGUCAAAAUAAAAGAGUGCCCGGAAAAGAAGCGGGGUGCUUCUCGCCUUCAAAAUAAAAGUGACUGUUCGAAGAGGAGUGUCUGUAAAUCAUGUAUAAAUUAAUUUCACUGAAUAUCAAUAAUAUAAAUUCAAUUCCAUAAUGUAAUUAUUAGACAGGCACUUGUCUUUUCUCUUUAUAAAGACAUGUUCCUGUUUACAUUUUCUUUUUUAUUCUCUCUAUGUUUGUUUUUGUGUUUUGUGUCAUAUAAACUACUGGAUGUCUAAAUUUCCUUCUGGAUCAAUAAAGUAUCUAUUAUUUUAUUAAGUUGGUGGUUAAAACAUUUUUGUGAUGGAAGCACGUCCCAACAUAUUUCACAUAUGAUUAAUGAUUGAUCGAUGAGUG